rnacentral:rRNA from 1 species
AUUGAACGCUGGCGGCAGGCCUAACACAUGCAAGUCGAGCGGAUGAAGGGAGCUUGCUCCUGGAUUCAGCGGCGGACGGGUGAGUAAUGCCUAGGAAUCUGCCUGGUAGUGGGGGAUAACGUCCGGAAACGGGCGCUAAUACCGCAUACGUCCUGAGGGAGAAAGUGGGGGAUCUUCGGACCUCACGCCAUCAGAUGAGCCUAGGUCGGAUUAGCUAGUUGGUGGGGUAAAGGCCUACCAAGGCGACGAUCCGUAACUGGUCUGAGAGGAUGAUCAGUCACACUGGAACUGAGACACGGUCCAGACUCCUACGGGAGGCAGCAGUGGGGAAUAUUGGACGAUGGGCGAAAGCCUGAUCCAGCCAUGCCGCGUGUGUGAAGAAGGUCUUCGGAUUGUAAAGCACUUUAAGUUGGGAGGAAGGGCAGUAAGUUAAUACCUUGCUGUUUUGACGGUACCAACAGAAUAAGCACCGGCUAACUUCGUG